UUCCAGCUCCAAUAGCGUAUAUUUAAGUUGUUGCAGUUAUAAAGCUCGUAGUUGGAUUUCGGGUGGGUACCGCCGGUCUCCCACUGGGUAUGUACUGGCGUGGCCCGCCUUGCUGUCGGGGACGAUCUCCUGGGCUUUACUGUCCGGGAAUCGGAGUCGACGGUGUUACUUUGAGUAAAUUAGAGUGUUCAAAGCAAGCCUACGCUCUGAAUAUAAUAGCAUGGGAUAACACGACAAGACUCUGGCCUAUCGUGUUGGUCUGUAGGACCGGGGUAAUGAUUAAGAGGGACAGUCGGGGGCAUUCGUAUUCCAUUGUCAGAGGUGAAAUUCUUGGAUUUAUGGAAGACGAACAUCUGCGAAAGCAUUUGUCAAGGAUGUUUUCAUUG
rnacentral:rRNA from 1 species